UUGCGACUCAUUGACCUAAGGGACUGGGGUGCUACCACUUACUACAUUUUAUUUUAUUAAUUAAUAACUUUUUUUAAAAAUCGAUUUCAUUAUUAACUAUUGUUACUAUUUUGAGACAAGGUCACACCAUGUAUCCCAGUUGGCUUCAAACUUGUAAUCUGCAUCUGCCUCCUGAUUGCUGACAUCAAAGGUGGUUGUGACUCUCUCUGCCUCGCUGGAGAGCCAUUUGCACAGUGAGAACACACAGAAAUGCAGAGAUCUGACGCUGUAUAGACAGCAGAAAGGAUGCUCCUUCAGAGACCAGGAGAGGAAACCAAGAUGGAAGAGUGCCACUUACACACUGUCUGCUACCAGGAGGACAGAAUGGGAACUUGAAUCAUGUGCUUCUGCUGCCUGAACUUUUAACCACUGCUCUGGAAACGGCUCGCAGGAAGCAGGAGGAAGGACUGUGGAGACAUCGCAGCACCGAGUGACCUUUCCCCUCCUUUACUGCCCACACUCCAGAUGCCUCAACCUCUCUCCCGUGCACGUCUGCGGCUGUUCCACGUAAUCCCAAUUCUUUUUAUCUUUGUCUCCAAUAAAUAUUUUUACUCAUAUUCAA